GCCAGACGUGGUGGUGCAUGCCUGUAAUCCCAGUGGCUCAGGAGGCUGAGGCAAGAGAAUCAUGAGUUCAAAGCCAGCCUGAGCAAUUUACUGAGGCCCAAAGCAACUCAGAGAUACCCUGUCUCUA
rnacentral:sRNA from 1 species